CCCUAGUACUGCGAGUGAGCGGGAAGAGCUCAAAUUUAAAAUCUGGCGCGCCUCAGGUCGCCCGAGUUGUAGUCUGGAGAAGCGUUUUCCGCGCUGGACCGUGUACAAGUCCCUUGGAAUAGGGCGUCGUAGAGGGUGAGAAUCCCGUCUUUGACACGGACUGCCAGUGCUCUGUGAUGCGCUCUCAAAGAGUCGAGUUGUUUGGGAAUGCAGCUCAAAAUGGGUGGUAAAUUCCAUCUAAAGCUAAAUAUAGGCGAGAGACCGAUAGCGAACAAGUACCGUGAGGGAAAGAUGAAAAGCACUUUGGAAAGAGAGUUAAACAGUACGUGAAAUUGCUGAAAGGGAAACGCUUGAAGUCAGUCGCGUCCGCCAGGACUCAGCCUUCGGGUGCAAUUUCUGGUGGAUGGGCCAGCAUCGAUUUUGACCGUUGGAGAAAGUUGGAGGGAAUGUGGCACCUUCGGGUGUGUUAUAGCCCUCUGUCGCAUACAACGGUUGGGAUCGAGGAUCGCAGCGCGCCUUUGUGGCCGGGGCAAUUUGCCCUACGUACGCGCUUAGGAUGCUGGCGUAAUGGCUUUAGCGACCCGUCUUGAAACACGGACCA
rnacentral:rRNA from 1 species